rnacentral:rRNA from 1 species
CAAUAGCGUAUAUUAAAGUUGUUGCAGUUAAAAGCUCGUAGUUGGAUUUCUGGGAGGGUGCCGAUGUCCGCUUAACGUGUGUGCAGCGGCGCCCUCUCAUCCUUCUGUUAGCGUCUCUUGGCAUUCAUUUGCUGGUGGCGGGCUCAGAUAUUUUACCUUGAGAAAAUUAGAGUGUUUCAGGCAGGCUAGGCCGGAAUACAUUAGCAUGGAAUAAUGGAAUAGGACUACGGUCUCUUUGUUGGUUUGAGGGACUGCAGUAAUGAUUAAUAGGGAUAGUUGGGGCGAUUAGUACUUAACUGUCAGAGGUGGAAUUCUCAGAUUUGUUUAAAGAACUGACUUAUUGCGAAAGACAUUUGUCCAACGGAAGUGUUUUCUAUUAAUUACAAGAACGAAAGUUAAGGGGUAGUCAAAGAAUGAUUAGUAUACCAU